AGACUCUGUCUAAAAAAAAAAAAAAAAAAUGUUAGACAACAUUGGAACAACACAACCCCAGGUCCCCGAGGCAGAGGUCGGGUCAGGGGUCACGGCACGGUUAGGGAGCGGAGCCCGGCGUGGGUGCCCCGCCUGGGGACCAGCAGUGGGGAGGUUUGCACAUUUCCCCUAAGCUUCUGGGUGGUCCCGAUGUUCUCACUGAGAGGGUGGGACCUCCUGGCGACUGUGGAAGCCCGUGGGAAUGAGCACCCUGUUUCUCUCACCUGCCCGCAACAUGCUGGACACGGACUCCCAGCAGUGCGGCGCCCACACUGCGGUGUCUGCCUCGUGGGUGCUCGGAAGGUCAGCGAUCGCCACGCUAGAAAGCCGCGGUGACACCCAGCAUGAAGGAGAGGCCGUGGCCGGAGCCUAAGAGGAAACUGGCCUGAGAGAGGAAGUCAGCCCGUGAGGUGUCAGCCUCCUUUGGACUUCCCAGAUGAGAAGCUCAGAACGCUUGGGGGUCCAGACCCUCCUGAAGAUCUGAUGAAAAUGCUGGUCCCUUCUCAGGAGAAAAAGGAACACAGGAACACAAGGCUGUGCUCGCCGUCGCAGGAAUUCCCGAAGCCCCUUUUCCCAGGUUCUAGGUUUAGAAGUCUCAUCUAGGGACGGGGCUCUCUGUGUGGGGAGGGCAGUGAGCGUGCGUGUGUGCGUGUGUGCAUGAGAGGGGUGCAGGCUACCUUACUGGAGAACUUUCAUGCCCAGAGGACCUACUUUACAGAAUCCCCUUUUUCUGUUAGGUCUUUGGAACUUUGCUUGCAAACCCCUUGCAAAGUUCACCCAUGAACUGUUUUGCUCUCUCUGCUAUCUGGAGUGCCAUUACUGCCUUUCUCCAUGUCCUAAGUGUUUUUCGCAAUCCAUGGAACAAUGCAGAAGAGGGAGGAGGAGGAGGUGGAGGAGGAGGAAAGGAGGGGGAAGAAGGGAUCCCAGUUCUUCUCUGUGUCCUGCACUUUGCUUCAUGCUCAUGCAAAACAUGUAUACCUUAUCUAUAGCUACUUUGGUGCAGAUGCAGUGAAUCCAUGGAAAUAACUUUUGCAGGAUAUACAACUGGUUGUGUGAGUUAAGAAAUACAAUGUCAGAAGGAUGAGUUACGUACACAGUGACAUAUAGCAGCAGCAUCCCUGAGAUUAGCCGGGUUAUUCCAAUAACUCCAGCUCUUCCCUAAGAAAAUGAGUAUCAUGUCCCAGCUCAAUGAUGGGGUGUAUUGAGCAACUCUUCUGUGCCAGGCACUGCACUGAGCUUAUUAGAUCUUGUUAUAAUGUUACAGGGCAGUAACUUGUAUCAUCCUCAUUUUUGUAAAUGUAAAGACUAAAGCUCAGAGAGUUACUUUAGUAAUUGGACUGAUGUCACCUGGCCUGGGAGUGGCAGGGGAGGGAUCUGAACCCAGGUGACCUAGCUCCAUAGACUGUGGGUUUAACUACUGCUCUCUACUGACAACCACCAGAUAACUUUCUCUCUCUUGAAUGUUUGGUGUAUUCGUCCCUAUUGCUGCUGUAACAAACACCCACGAAUGCAGUGAUUUAAAACAACCCAGAUUUAUUCUCUUAACAGUUCUGGAAGGCAGAAGUUUAAAAGGGGCUGGCAGGAUUAUGUUCCUUCUGGAGGCUUUAGGGGGAAAUCCAUUUCCUAGUGGGUGCUGCAUCCCUUGGCUCAAGGUCCUUUCCUCCGUCUUUGGAGCCAUCACUGCAACCCACCCCCCAAUCCUCACAUCUCUGAAUCUGCCCCUCCUGUCUCCCUGCUGUACGGACCCUGUGAUUACAGUGGCCCACCCAGAUAAUCCCGGAUAAUCUCCCCACCUCAAGAUCCUUGAGUUGAUCACCCACAGGUUGAGGAAUUUGGACAUCCACAUCUUUUGGGGGGCUGCUAUUGGAACCACCACACUUAGCUAUUUCAAUUUUGUAGAAUAACAACAAAAAGCAUUUUUGAAUGCUGCCAUGGACCUUAAUUCCAUUGGCUUAAUUAUACCUGAAAAACCUGUUGAUCAAGCAAAACUAGGCUUUUCAGACCUCCUGCAGUAAGGAAGACUACCACAUCAACAGAUACGAAUUAGGGAAAUUAGGGAAAGGUAUUUUUAGGGUUUUAGGGCCUUGGCCGGGUGAUUUUAAAGUGUGUCUUGCAAGGCAGGAAACUGGCUGGGAUUGGUGAGUUUCUGACAUAACAGCUUUGGAAUGGGGGGCCCUGGAAGGGCUUUGAAGUGAAAGCUGAUACAUAAUCUUAUCUUCCAGAGCAGGUAUUUCUUGGAGCAAGCAGCUAACUGACUUUUGCCUGAUCCUGGUAUUGCUUAACAUAGGAUUAUUUUGGUUUUAGUCCUCACUAAUUACAGUAAUAAUUUUCAUUUUUUUGGAGCGCCUCCUACAGGCCAGGCAACUUGACUCAUUUUGGCAGUUACACCAACCCUGAAGUGUCCUUCUUUAGAUGACAAACUAUGUGGCACCGUUGCAAUACAGUGACGCUGUAAGUGCAGAGGAGUGGAUCGGAGCGGCUGGGGACUUGCUCAAGGCUGCUGCGCCAACCAGGCAGAAUUCUCCAAGUUCAAGCUGCGUAUCUGGCUUCUGCCUGGAAAUCCCAGCACAGAGCCAGACUUUGUGACUACAUAUUUGAUUUGUUUUUUAUUAAAUCUGUGUCCUCCAUUGGAGCAACAGCCCCACAAGGGCCCAACCCAGGUCCGUCUCAGUCGUGAGCAUGCAGCAGGGCCUCCAGCAGUAGGGAGCGCUCAGUGUGUCCUCCGCAGAGGCUUGGGACUCACACGAAAGUGCUCAGCCUGCUGCCUGGGGAGUGUUCUAGGCCACCUUUCCCUCCCUGAGAUAGAUACAGCCUGGAGCUCGCCAGCACCCAGCCAGCAGGAGCUCAGGACCAGGCCAGGCCUCCCCACCGGGCUCACCGCCACCCGGCUGCAAGGGCCCGGCUGCCUGUGCACAUGCGCACUGCUGGGGAAGAGCCUUCGCCAUUGCCACGCCACAGCCAGGCAGAGCAGGAGAAGCUGCCCAGCACCGCCUCGCCAGGGAUGGUUGAUAUGCUUGGCUGGGGCCUGACCACAAAUGUCUCCCGCAAACAGGGUUUUUGUUCUUGUAAUUACCAUACUUUGGGGCUUGGCCCUCCCAAAGUUAUCAGCAUCCAAUUCAGUAGGAUUUCUUGG